UAGCUCAGUCAGUUGAGCGUGGCGCUAGCAAUGCCAGGGUCGCGGGUUCAAUUCCUGU
rnacentral:tRNA from 1 species